rnacentral:lncRNA from 1 species
UGAGAGUGUUUCAACUGCCACUGCGCCACGUCAGUUUAGGCAGUUUCCUACGUUGAACUGAUGAAACCCCGCGCGGCGGAGGGCUCGCGGAGACCAUGCUCGCCGCCGCCGCCGCCGCCGCCGCCGCCGUCAAGGGGAGGAUCAAAUCGCGGCCACGGCUACCUCCUCUCGCCUCGCCGGCGACGACUUCCACAUGCGCUCCCGCUCCCGCCGCCACCGCUCGCCGCGGCUCUCAUGCGGCCGCGUCUCAAGUCGUCUCCCACGCGUCGCUCCUCCUCCGGCUGCAGUCGUGCCCGGAUUUCCAGGAGGCACGGAGGCUUCACGCGGCGGUCCUCGUCGGCGGCCACGGCCACGGCACCGUCCUCGUCGCACAGUUGGUGCGCGCGUACGCGAAGCUCGGGGAUGUCGCGCACGCGCUGCGGGUGUUCGACGGAAUGCCGAGGAGGAACUCCUUCGCGUGGAACGCCGUGAUCAAGGGCCUUGUCGACGCUGGUAGAUUCUCGGAGGCGCUGGAGAUGUUUUGGGGGAUGGUGAACGAUGGCUCGGUAGCGGUGGAUGGUUUCACGUAUCCGCCUGUCAUCAAGGCGUGUGCUGCGCUUGGAGCUGUUGCGCAGGGGAGGAAGGUAUGGGAGAUGGUGGAGACUGACAUUGCCAGCGGUAAUGCGAGGCCCAACGUGUUUGUGCAGUGCGCGCUUGUGGAUAUGUUUGCAAAGUGUGGGUGCUUGGAUGAAGCAAGGAAUGUUUUUGAGAGCAUGCAAGUGAGGGAUUUGGCUGCGUGGACUGCGAUGAUUGGAGGAACUGUGCAUUCAGGGAACUGGCUUGAGGUGGUGGAUUUGUUCAAUCACAUGAGAUCAGAAGGGUUUGGGGUUGACUCUCUAAUUGCUGCAACUGUCAUUUCAGCGUGUGGGAGAGCAGGUGAAUUGCAGGUUGGAACUGCAUUGCAUGGAUGUGCUGUGAAAAGUGGAGCAAGUGGUGAUAUAUAUGUUUCCAACGCCUUGGUAGAUAUGUACUGCAAAUGCGGUUGCGUAGAGAUGGCUGAUUGUCUUUUCUGGUCUACAAAUUCCAAAGAUGUUGUCUCCUGGAGUAGCUUGAUUGUGGGGUAUUCACAAAAUGGAAUGCAUAAUGUGAGUGUCAGUUUGUUCUGUGAAAUGAUCUCUUUGGGGAUAAACCCCAACUCUAGUACUCUGGCAAGCAUACUUCCUUGUCUUUCUGUGCUGAAGUUAAUCAGGAGUGGAAAAGAAAUUCAUUGCUUCUCUAUAAGACAUGGACUUGAGAGAAGUGAGUUUGUAGUGAGCGCACUUAUAGACUUGUACAGCAAACAGGGGUUGAUAAGGGUGGCAGAAACUAUAUUUUGGCUUACGCUGGACAAAGAUCUAGCCAUUUGGAACUCAAUGGUUGCAGGAUAUGCUGUGAAUGGAUAUUCAGACUCUGCAUUCUGCGCAUUGAGGUUAUUACAGAAAGUGGGUUUAAAACCUGAUCAUGUGACUGUUGUUUCAGUUCUUCCUUUAUGCAAUCAACACCAUAUGCUCAUCCAGGGUAAGGAACUACAUGCAUAUGUGAUCAAGUAUUGUAUUAACUCAGUCUGCUCAGUCAAUAAUGCACUUCUAGAUAUGUAUUGCAAGUGUGGUUUCCUAGAAGUAGCUAAAGAGGUUUUUCAACUGAUGACAGAACGCAAUACAGUUACAUAUAACAUACUGAUUUCUUCUUUUGGAAAGCAUAACCAUGAAGAUCAAGCCCUAUCAUUUUUCGAUCUAAUGAAGAGAGAUGGAAUUGCUCCAGAUAAAGUGACUUUUGUGGCACUACUAUCUUGUUGUAGCCAUGCUGGUCUCAUUGACAAGGGUUUGCACUUAUAUCAUUCCAUGUUACAUGACUACAAUAUUUCUCCAGAGAAGGAACACUACUCAUGCAUUGUUGAUCUCUACAGCAGAUGUGGGAAGCUUGAUGAGGCUUGGUGUUUCAUGUCAAAUAUGGCAGAAGAGCCAGAAAUCGAUGUCCUUGGAGGGCUCUUGGCAGCAUGUAGAGUGCAUAAUAGAAUGGACAUUGCUGAGCUGGUUGGGAAAAGAAUAUUUGAGCAAAAUCCCAAUGAUCCUGGCUAUCAUAUUCUGCUUUCUAAUAUCUACGCCGAUGCUGGAAUGUGGUCUGAUGUGACAAGGAUAAGAACUAUGAUACAAGAGAGAAAUUUGAAGAAGGAAACAGGAAAUAGCUUGACCUAAAAGUUAAACAAUGAGUGCACAAGUCUGUAUAAAAAGACAAGAACCUUUUGUUAUUUGUUAGAUCAUCAAACUAAAAAUGCGAUUGAAAAGUGCAGCUUGAUAAUUGGUAACAGACCUAGGAGAAUGGGAACUGUUAAGAAUCAGAGAAAAGCAAACCGUUUUCAACAUGCUUUUAGGACAUUUUCUCUAGAGGAAAUGAAGACUUUUUUGGGUAUAGGAGAUACUGGUAUUUGUUCACUAGCCAAGGACAUACUUUAUCAAGAAUACACUCCAAGGGAUGAUUAAUUAUUUAAUCAAGGGAAAAGGAUACUGCAGCGUCAAGCCUGGAGGUAUAGAUUCACUUUCAAGCUUGAAGAAAGCAAAGGAAGAAGGGCAUCCUUAUCUAAUGCGGGUCACAUCUGUUCGACAGCUCUGAAGAUCCGGUGUCAUUUGGACCACCUGCCCUGCUGCAGUGGCUACUGCACAGCACAGUGUUGUCCGAGAGCUCAGUUUCAGCAAGGAGGGGGGGGGGGGGGGGUUCUGUCCAAUCAUGGGCAUGCCGAUGAUGGGCAAUUUCAUUGUAAAGGGUACCGACACAUAUGCAGGGUUUGAAGGAUCGCCUAGCUGGCUUAUCCUGCUACUAAUAAGUUGACUUCCCCAGGGCAUCCAGUAUUUGGUGGAUCUGCUUCCACGUAGCACUGAACUGGGUCAGUACUUUACUAAUCAGCUAUCAGGGCCGUAGUUUAUGGGAAAUGCAGUUAUAUUUUCCAAGGCAAACACAACUCUACUAUAUCCCCAAAUGCACUGUUUUCCAAGACAAGCAUAUCAAUUCUGUUACAAGCACAAGUAUACAUCCCAAAAUGGUGAGGUUUUCAUCAGAAAGGGAAUUGCAUGUGAAUGCAGCUAACGGAUCGGGGUAUAAUUCAAGCUGGAUUAUUCGAUCCUAACCUUCAUCUUCAAGCAAUCAAAUUAACAGCCCUGUUUAACAAAAGUUUGAGAGAUUUUGAAUGAGGAUCCGUGCAUGCAGCAGGAAAGUCGGCACGGAAGCUGGAGAUGAAAAGCUGAAACAUGAUUUCUUUUCAAAGAAAAAUGAAAAAAAAAAAACAGCAGCACUGCGCUGGCAGCCGGAGCCAAUGGGCGAGGGGCACGUGUCCCCGGAUUCCUCGACCGACCAGGGAGACUCCGCACGAGCAGGGCACGUGACGGACGAUCCGCUCGUCUUUAUAUACGGCUAAUGCGUCGCUGGUGAGUUUACCUGCAUCGCAUCAGCUCUCUUGACUCCUCUCUCUUCGUCUCAGCUUGGAGCUCAGUCUUUGAUUUUUCUUCUUCUUCUUGUUUGUGCAAUUGUGCAUCGUUGUUAGCUGGGAACAAGCAGAAGAAUGGCGGACAGCACGGCGACCUGCAUCGACAUCAUCCUCGCCAUCAUCCUGCCGCCGCUCGGCGUCUUCUUCAAGUUCGGCUGCGGGAUUGAGUUCUGGAUCUGCUUGCUGCUCACCUUCUUCGGCUACCUCCCCGGCAUCAUCUACGCUGUCUGGGUCAUCACCAAGUAGGAGGAGAAUUACUACCCUUCCAAGGUGAUGGUGAAUUGGUGAUCCGGAGCCUGUGAUUGGUUGUGCCUGGUGUAAGCGGCAGUUGUCAAAGCUGUGAUUUUCUGGUUCUUUGGACGGAUGGUGCUCGCUGUGGUGUUGUGUAUGCUGUACAUCUGUUUUGGUGUUUGUGCUUAGGUCCCUCUUCUGUUACAACAAUUGUUUUCUCCCUGUUCUUCCGGGGUACCUUCUCCAGUUUAUCUUCUGCACCUUCUCGUCCCUGUACUUUGAAUAUUAAUUAAUUAAUUAAUUAAUUGCUCCUUGUUAGCCAUCUGCUCAAAGAGUAAUUUAAGAAUCGUUUGACAAA